rnacentral:lncRNA from 10 species
CUGCCAGACUAAUUAGAGGGAGUGUCUGGGGAAGGCCUAGGUGUGGAGGAAGAAGCUGUGCAGGACAGGGCUUGCCAGUCAGAAUGAAGUGGGAGGAAGAUGAGGGACACAGAGAAGCAGAGAGAGGCAGAGACACCAUGGCAGUGAGCAGUGAGGGAGACACUGACUUCAGAGACCCCAGGAGGCCAGAGGAACUUGUCUGGCAAUUAUGAGAGUGGAUGGAGGAACUGCCUAUCCCUGUCCCAUGGUCUUGUCCACAGGCUUUCACAAGCUCCAAAAGAUUCACCGUGCAGAACUGGAGAUUCUAGAGAAAGACCACGCCUCCUCCUGCGGGUAACUCUUCAUUCAGCAAGCAGCUCUUGGCUUAUCCCUGGGCUUAGUGGAAUUCGAAUACCUGACCAUAGGACACCAAGGGCUUUGGGACCUGAAUGACACAUCAUGUGGUGGUGACAUCUGAGUUACCUGGGGCGUGCACAGCAGCCUCCAGCAUCCCAGGGAGAGCUGUGUAUGGGGUCAGGCUCAAGCAGGUCUCAGGGCACCAGUGACCCAAUGGGUGACUCAGACUCCCAUGGCACCUGCUCCUUCUGUUUCUCCCUUCGCCAUAUAUAUGAGCUCAUGGGAAACGCUGUGACCUCUUACAGAGGAGGAAAGUUCAUGGACUUCUAGCUUCUAGAACUGUGAUACAAUAAACUCCUGUUGCUUAUCUACUCCUCUGCAGUAUUUUGUCAUGGCAGCCCUAGCAAACUACUAUAGUGACUGUGGGGGUUAGGAUGACACCAAGCAUCAAAUGCCACUCCCUGUUCCAACAGUGAGACCAUUCCACAGCCCCUGAAUGACAAGACAGGCCUUCAAGCUCAAGACUACUUGGCUAGGUUGGCAUAUUUCAUGAAGGCAUCAACCUGUUUGUUAAAGUUUUGGAAGUCUAUAGACAGUUCAGUGAUAUAAUCUUGAACUGCUCAGAAACUUGUAUGCAAGAGUACUUGUCAGCAUCUUUUCCAUAAAUCUUUUGAAAUAGAAGCAAUUUUGAACUGUAGCUGAUUGCAGAUGCUUUCAGGAAGAAUCAAAACAACUAUCUGUGAAUGACCAUCAUGUAAAAUGACUAUUGUUAAAACUCUGAUAAAGAGCCCGCAUCGCCAAGUCAAUCCUAAGCCAAAAGAACAAAGCUGGAGGUAUCACACUACCUGACUUCAAACUAUACUACAAGGC